CAAAGAAUAGUUUAAUAAAAAUAUUAAUUUUGGAGAUUAAUGAUAGGUAGUUUCUUUUCUUUGA
rnacentral:tRNA from 1 species